CCUACGGGAGGCAGCAGUGAGGAAUAUUGGUCAAUGGGCGCAAGCCUGAACCAGCCAAGUCGCGUGAGGGAUGACGGUCCUAUGGAUUGUAAACCUCUUUUGUCGGGGAGCAAGGCCCGCCACGUGUGGCGGGAAGGAGAGUACCCGAAGAAAAAGCAUCGGCUAACUCCGUGCCAGCAGCCGCGGUAAUACGGAGGAUGCGAGCGGUAUCCGGAUUCAUUGGGUUUAAAGGGUGCGUAGGCGGAAGGUUAAGUCAGCGGUCAAAUGUCGGUGCUCAAAACCGGCCUGCCGUUGAAACUGGUCGUCUUUGGUGAGCGAGAAGUAUGCCGAAAGCGGGGUGGAGCCGUGAAAUG
rnacentral:rRNA from 1 species